rnacentral:lncRNA from 1 species
CCAGAACCAAGUAAAAAGCAACAGAAGUAUACUGCUGGCGGACGGUUAAGGCUGUGGAAGGAGAUUCCCAACGUAACACAGCAUGCAGGGACUGCUGAAAGCUGAAAGUGGAACAGUAAAUUGAGAAAAAUCCAGCACUCCAAGACACAAAAUAGCAAGAGUGCACUGCUUGAGUAAACUGAAGUAUCUUGUGCACUGAAGGUGACUUUAGCAACAACAAAAUCCAACGGAGGUCAACUUUUGACCAAACUGACUCAAUCCCUCAUUCACAGCCCGACAGAAGAAGAGGAAGAAAAAGAAGAAGCACAACGCUUAGUCUUAAGCAAAUACCUGUUUCUUGCACCACUUCUGGACCUGGCCUCCCAGAAACAGGAGGUUGGACGGAGAUGUAAAGUGAACAUCUAUUCUAAACCAUACGAUGAAGUGUACUUGGAC